UCCCGUUGAUCCUGCGGGAGGCUGCUGCUAUUAGGAUUCGACUAAGCCAUGCAAGUCAAGGGGUCGCAAGACACCGGCAGAAUGCUCAGUAACACGUCGUUAAUCUUACCUUGGGUCAGGGAUAGCCUCGGAAAACUGAGGGUAAACCCUGAUAGGGAAAUUGUUCUGGAAAUGAUUUUUUCCUGAAAAGCAAUGCCUGAGGAUGAGACGGCGGCCGAUUAGGUUGUUGGCGGGGUAACUGCCCACCAAGCCGAAGAUCGGUAGGGGCCUUGAGAGAGGAAGCCCCGAGAAGGGCACUGAGAUACUGGCCCUAGCCCUAAGGGGUGCAGCAGGCGCGAAACCUUUACAAUACACGCAAGUGUGAUAAGGGAAUCCUAAGUGCUGAUGCUUUGCAUCGGCUUUUGCCAAGAUCAGGACUCUUGGCGAAUAAGUGGUGGGAAAGACUGGUGCCAGCCGCCGCGGUAACACCAGAGCCACGAGUGGGAGCCGCGUUUAUUGGGCCUAAAGCGUCCGUAGCCGGUUUGGUAAAUCUUUUGUGAAAUUGUCAGGCUUAACCUGCCAGCUUGCAAGAGAGACUGCCAGACUAGGGACCGGGAGGGGUCAGAGGUAUUUUUGGGGGAGCGGUAAAAUGCUAUAAUCCCUUAAGGACCACCUGUGGCGAAGGCGUCUGACCAGAACGGAUCCGACGGUGAGGGACGAAAGCCAGGGGAGCAAACCGGAUUAGAUACCCGAGUAGUCCUGGCUGUAAACGCUGCGAGCUAGGUGUUGCACAUUCUUCGUGAUUGUGCAGUGUCGUAACGAAGGUGUUAAGCUCGCCGCCUGGGAAGUACGGUCGCAAGGCUGAAACUUAAAGGAAUUGGCGGGGGAGCACCACAAGGGGCGCGGCGUGCGGUUUAAUCUAACUCAACGCAGAGAAUCUCACCAGAAGCGACGGCAGGAUGAAAGUCAGUCUGAAGGGCUUACUUGACGAGCCGAGAGGUAGUGCAUGGCCGUCGUCAGCUCGUGCCGUGAGGUGUCCUCUUAAGUGAGGCAACGAGCGAGACCUGUACCUACAAUUGCCAGCAAACUAUGUGAUUGGGCACAUUGUGGGGACUGCCCUGGAAACAGGGAGGAAGGUGCAGGCUACGGUAGGUCUGUAUGCUCCGAAUCCUCUGGGCUACACGCGCGCAACAAUGGUAGGGACAAUGGGACACAACUCCGAAAGGAGGAGUUAAACCUCUAAACCCUAUCUUAGUUCAGAUUGAGGGCUGUAACUCGCCCUCAUGACGACGGAAUCCCUAGUAAUUGGACUUCAUCAUGGUCCAGUGAAUAUGUCCCUGCUCCUUGCACACACCGCCCGUCAAACCAACCGAGCAGGGUCUAGAUGAGUCCUUGUUUGCUUGACAAGGCCGAAUCUAAGCUCAGUGAGGUGGGUUAAGUCGUCACAAGGUA
rnacentral:rRNA from 1 species